GAGGUGUUCCAUUCCGUGGAUCAUUUUUGUGGCCCUCCUCUGGAUGCGCUCCAACAGCUCCAUGUCCCUCCUGUACCUAGGACUCCAUAUCCAGAUGCAAUACUCCAGGGCUCAGCAGGAACUCUGUAACCUAAGGCCUGGCAGCAUCAAACUAUGAAUCAGGUAUUUGAGAAUGAAGAGAACAUAAGAUUUCCAAAAGCAUGAGAACACAGAAAAGACGUCACAGAAUCAUAACAUGACUGAAGCAGGAAGAAAGCUCUGGAGACACCCAAUCUAAUCUCCUGUUCAAAGCAGAGUCACCUCAGGCAGGCUCCUCAGUGUUCUGCCCAGUUAAAUUUUGAAUCUCUCCAAUGAUGGAAACUCGUACCUUCUCUUGGUAAUUAAUUCCUGCAUUUCAC